rnacentral:lncRNA from 1 species
AGUAUGACUGGUGUCUUUAUAGGAAGAGGACGAGACCCCAGGGACACACGUGCACAGAGAAAAGGCCAUGGGAGGAUACAGCAAGAAGGCAGCCAUUCGCAUUUCAGAGAGACUCAGAAGAAACCAGCUCUGCCCACACCUUGAUCUCAGCCUUCCAGCCUCCAGGACUUUGAGAAGAGCUCAAGAUGGCAUCUGGAUGAUGCCUACUCAACGGGGAUCAUGUCGCAGCCAAGGAGGAGAAAAUGGAUUCUUAGGCUCCCACCACAAAGACCUGCCACAGCUCCAGCCUCCACUGGAUGACUCCACUCUGGACCCAGAUGAUUAGUUUCACAUGAAAUUGUAAGAAGGAAUACAGAGAGCAGCCACGUACGCUUUCCCUAGUUUCCUGAAAUGGUAACAUUUUGCAAAAUUCCGGUGGACUAUCACAACCAGGUUCUUGACGUUGAUGCAGUCCACAGGCUUUAUCCCGAUUGGCCCAGUUGUACUUGGACUCCUUUGUAUGUGUGCCUGUGUAUUUGGUUCUUUGCAAUCUCAUCUGUGUAGGUUAGCAUUCCCUCUGCCCCUCCACCCCACAGUGGAGAUAAAGAACAAUUCCAUCCCCACAAGGAUCCAUCCAAUUGCUUUUUUAUAACCCCGCCUACCUCCCUCUCAACUCACUCAUUCUCUCUCCUCCCUAACCCCUGGCAACCUCUAACCUGUUCUCCGUUCUAUAAUUUUGUCAUUUCAAGAAGGUUAUGCACCAUUUGGAUUGGCUUUUGUCACUCAGCAUAAUUCUCUGGGAUUCCUCCAGCUGUUGCCUGUAUCAAUAGUUUGUUUCUUCUUAUUACUAAGUGGUACGCGAUGGCAUGGAUGUAUCACAGUCUGUUUAACUAUUUACCUGUUGAAGGACAUCAGGGCUGUUUCCAGGCUUUGGCUACUACAAAUAAAGCUGCUAUAAACAUUUGUGUAUCGA